rnacentral:lncRNA from 13 species
CCAACGGGUAGCAGGAAAACCCGGAGCAGGGCAUUAAGGAGCCGGCGAGCGGACCAAGCAUGCGCAGUAGCGGUGGGUUGGUUUGAGAAGCCGCCAGGGAGCCAGCGCGGCUCCCUAGCUGCCUGGGGUAGGGGCGGGGCCCGCCUUAUAUGGGAGCUGCGUGGGGACAAACUGCGCGGGCCCAAGGCGCGGCGCGGAGGCCGGGCGGAGAGACGGCCACCUGGGGGACACAGCGCGCGGACGCCGGGCCAGUUCUUAAGGACAUCGGUAUUCAGACUUUUCAGGAGUGCUAGCUUACUCAUGACCGCGAUUUUCUGUAUCGGGGUUUUAUUGAAAUCACCUGGCGGUCUUGUGAAACUGCAGCUUCCGAUGGGCAGAUCAGAAGGGAAGCCCGAGACGCGACAUUUCCAGCACUCUCCGGGAGCGAAGCUGCUACCGCUGCCACCCUCUCUGCAAGGAGCCAGGGGAUGGAUGACCUCUAAGCAAACUGGACAGAAGAGGGAAGCGCGUCAAAGCUGACAGACAGAUGGUAGAGUGUCCAGUCACAGCAAAGCAGGCCCUGAGGCUCAUGACAGACAACUCUGGGGCUGAGAUCUCAUUUGUAGUUCUGGGAUAAAGUCCAGAGUUUGAUGGCAGCAGGCUGAACUGUAAAGAUGCUCAACAAUACACACCGCAGAGACAUUGAAUCUGAAAAGCUUGGAGUGAAUAACAAUCUGGAAAUGAACUCUAUCUGCCUAUUCACCAUUCCCCCAUAACCAAAAAAAGAAAAAAAAAAAUCUGUAUUCCAAACAGUGUUCAAGUUUCCUUUCCCUGAGACCUCAGCAGUCAGUCAGGGAGGUGCUUCUGCAAUCCAGGUUAAGGGGAGUUCACCAUGCUCACAUGGGAAUUCAGUAGAUUGCCAGUAGGGAUGGCCAUAGCUUUGUACUUCCUCGUAUUUCCAGGAAUAAAGCUAGGGUGCCUAGGAGCUGCA